AGAACAAGAGAGGGUGGGAAAAUAAGAAAGGAAAAUAGAACAUUUUAGGGAAAGGGAAUAGUGUGUGCAAAGAUGAAGAAGUAUAAAAGAAAAUGUAGCUUAUUCCAGAAACUGCUAAAAGGAUCAAUAUGCUGUCGUGUCAUGAGAGAGCCACAAUUCUUCAAACAUAUUUAACUGCUGGAGAGAAUGGCUCAGAAUCCCAGGUAUCAGCUUCAGCACACAGAUAAAAUAUAAGAAAGAAUUUGAGGUUGAUGUCAGAAGCAUUUCCAACAGGGCUAAGGAAGUAUUUUUUUGGAAGAUCUCUUCUUGGCCCUUGACAGAAGAAGCAGAGUAACUUUUCUUAGGUGGCAUAAUUCUUCAAAAUGUGUUCAUUUUGAAGAACAGGGGUGAUGGAUGGUAAUACACAGGCAGGGAUCAACAGUCCCAGAACUGAAGGAAGAGUUGACAAAUGUAUCAAAGAUGCCUAAUCAAAAUGUGUCCACAUUCUGCUAAAUAAAUUCUGGUUGAGCAGAACUAACAAA
rnacentral:lncRNA from 1 species